rnacentral:rRNA from 1 species
GACGAACGCUGGCGGCGUGCUUAACACAUGCAAGUCGAACGGUGAAGCGCCUUCCUUUUUGGUGGGUGUGGAUGAGUGGCGAACGGGUGAGUAACACGUGAGUAACCUGCCCCCUUCUUCUGGAUAACCGCAUGAAAGUGUGGCUAAUACGGGAUAUUCUGGGUCUGUCGCAUGAUGGGUCUGGGAAAGAUAUUGUUUCGGUGGGGGAUGGGCUCGCGGCCUAUCAGCUUGUUGGUGGGGUGAUGGCCUACCGAGGCGGUGACGGGUAGCCGGCCUGAGAGGGUGGACGGUCACACUGGGACUGAGACACGGCCCAGACUCCUACGGGAGGCAGCAGUGGGGAAUAUUGCACAAUGGGCGCAAGCCUGAUGCAGCGGCGCCGCGUGAGGGAUGGAGGCCUGCGGGUUGUGAACCUCUUUCGCCAGUGAAGCAGGCCUGCCUCGUUUGUGGGUGGGUUGACGGUAGCUGGAUAAGAAGCGCCGGCUAACUACGUG